rnacentral:rRNA from 1 species
AUGUCUUCAUGGUGCUUGCGGAGGGGCAGGGCCCCUGAGGAAAAGUGGUGGUUGGGGAGGAGGACGCCCUUGUCCUUGGUGUCCGGGCCGCCAUGGCUGACGCCGGAGCCGUUGGUUGGCCUUGAGGUCAUCCGUCGUUGGCGUCCUCAUCAUCCAUCCAACCACCAGGUCCUCGAUCCAUCUGCGGCCGCUGCACCUCCACAGGAGGAGAUCCCUGAGGCAUUUGAUUCUUGUGGGAUCCCCACACAUCUUGCAAGAUCAACAAGUGGCUGGGCCUCUACAUUAUUCAGAAAAGCUAUUUUUAUCUUUCAUUUAUUUGUCUAA